UACGUAGGGGGCAAGCGUUGUCCGGAAUCAUUGGGCGUAAAGCGCGUGUAGGCGGCCCGGUAAGUCCGCUGUGAAAGUCGGGGGCUCAACCCUCGGAUGCCGGUGGAUACUGUCGGGCUAGAGUGCGGGAGAGGCGAGUGGAAUUCCUGGUGUAGCGGUGAAAUGCGCAGAUAUCAGGAGGAACACCAAUUGCGAAGGCAGCUCGCUGGAACGUUACUGGCGCUGAGACGCGAAAGCGUGGGGAGCAAACAGG
rnacentral:rRNA from 1 species